rnacentral:lncRNA from 1 species
GAUGGCAGGGACCAAUUCUGCCUGGACCAGCGUGGGUGCUGUGUUGCGACGGUCAACGUUGUCUUCUCUGCUGAGCAAGAGCAGAGCCACCUGUGUUCUGAGAGUAUUUUCAUCUAACGUUCUGCGGAGGCCCAUGGUUGGAGGGAGUGACAGCCGCGCCUUCCCGUGAAGGGAAUGGAGUAGGUGCCACACAAUGGGCGUGCCCACCGGAGACCCGAGCAAGAGUGAAUGAUUUUCAAAUUAACCUCCUCGUUCUUCACCUUCCUCAGGAACACGCUACUCAUG